UACAGAGGGGGCAAGCGUUGUUCGGAAUUAUUGGGCGUAAAGGGCGCGUAGGCGGCCUGGCAAGUGGAAGGUGAAAUCCCUCGGCUUAACCGAGGAACUGCCCUCCAAACUGCUUGGCUUGAGACCGGGAGAGGUGAGUGGAAUUCCCAGUGUAGCGGUGAAAUGCGUAGAUAUUGGGAGGAACACCAGUGGCGAAGGCGGCUCACUGGACCGGUACUGACGCUGAUGCGCGAAAGCGUGGGGAGCAAACGGG
rnacentral:rRNA from 1 species